UACGUAGGGUCCGAGCGUUGUCCGGAGUUACUGGGCGUAAAGCGCGCGCAGGCGGCGGUGUUGGCCCGGCGUGAAAGCCCCCGGCUCAACCGGGGAGAGUCGUCGGGGACCGCACCGCUUGAGGGCGGUAGGGGCUGGUGGAAUGCCUGGUGUAGUGGUGAAAUGCGUAGAGAUCAGGCAGAACACCUGGGGCGAAGGCGGCCAGCUGGACCAGCACUGACACUGAGGCACGAAAGCGUGGGGAGCAAACAGG
rnacentral:rRNA from 1 species